rnacentral:rRNA from 1 species
GAUCAUGGCUCAGGAUGAACGCUAGCGGGAGGCCUAACACAUGCAAGCCGAGCGUAUUGUUUCUUCGGAAAUGAGAGAGCGGCGUACGGGUGCGGAACACGUGUGCAACCUGCCUUUAUCUGGGGGAUAGCCUUUCGAAAGGAAGAUUAAUACUCCAUAAUAUAUUGAUUGGCAUCAAUUAAUAUUGAAAGCUCCGGCGGAUAGAGAUGGGCACGCGCAAGAUUAGCUAGUUGGUGAGGUAACGGCUCACCAAGGCGAUGAUCUUUAGGGGGCCUGAGAGGGUGAUCCCCCACACUGGUACUGAGACACGGACCAGACUCCUACGGGAGGCAGCAGUGAGGAAUAUUGGUCAAUGGGUGCAAGCCUGAACCAGCCAUCCCGCGUGAAGGACGACUGCCCUAUGGGUUGUAAACUUCUUUUGUAUAGGGAUAAACCUACCCUCGUGAGGGUAGCUGAAGGUACUAUACGAAUAAGCACCGGCUAACUCCGUG